GUGCCAGCAGCCGCGGUAAUACAGAGGGUGCAAGCGUUAAUCGGAUUUACUGGGCGUAAAGCGCGCGUAGGCGGCCAAUUAAGUCAAAUGUGAAAUCCCCGAGCUUAACUUGGGAAUUGCAUUCGAUACUGUUUGGCUAGAGUGUGGGAGAGGAUGGUAGAAUUUCCAGGUGUAGCGGUGAAAUGCGUAGAGAUCUGGAGGAAUACCGAUGGCGAAGGCAGCCAUCUGGCCUAACACUGACGCUGAGGUGCGAAAGCAUGGGGAGCAAACAGGAUUAGAUACCCUGGUAGUCC
rnacentral:rRNA from 1 species